UGACACUACCUAGUCAAAUUUCGAGUGCUUUCAUUGAAGUGAACAUCGUUGGUGAGAAUUGAAGUUAAAGCUUGUUCUUACUUGCUUAUUUAACUUUUGUGAAGCAUAAGUCGUGGUUAUAUUAAUGUUGGCUAUUUCACACACGACACUCCAAGUUGUUCAAUUAAAGUUUGGUUAACCCUUUGAUAAUGUCUUGAGUUAACGUUGCUUAUUUCUUGGAAGUUAGUUAACCGUUGGUGAUUAUCUCUGAGAUCAAUAUUGGGAAUUUAGUUGUGUGUUUGUUUUGAGUCUUUGUUCUUUUGUUUUCAUUUUUCGUUUUGUUUUGCUCGAGGACUAGCAAAAUCUAAGUUUGGGGGUAUUUGAUAAGCCAUUUAUAUAUCACAUAAAUUUAUUCUUUUCAUUUAGAUGUUGUAUGCAAAAAUUGAUUGUUCUAUAGAGAUCUUCACAUAUUCCAGCUUUUGUGUUUUCAGGAACUCUAAAAUGCCAAAAAUGGAGAAAUUACUUUUUACUAGGAGAUUUUGGUUGAAACCACUUGGAGAUGAAAGCUAAGAGGUCAAGAGACGUUAUAUCAAAAUUUGAGAGCUAUUGGACCCGCCAACUGUUCAGAAUGAAUUAUUAAAGUCAGGGCAUGUGCCACACGGACAGAUUGGAGCUGUUGGGUUGAGGACGAUUUGAGUUUAUGGGAUUUGUCUUGGAAACUAUUUGACAUAAAAAUUGUAGCUGAAGUCAAUCCUUUCCAAUGAGAUCUUACACAUUCGAUUUGGUGAAGAUUAAGCUCACCAAAAGCCCAGAAUCGGAAUAGCUGCUGUAAGCUGCAAAGAAUUAGGAAAGCUGACUUGUACUUUUUAAAAUUUUUUUUUUUUCUAUUGGUUACAAUUUGUUUGGCUGUUCUUGCCUUGGAAGUUAAGUUAUUU
rnacentral:lncRNA from 1 species